CAUGCAGGACUUAGGUUCUGUUUAAAACUAUGAAUAGUCGCCAUAAGUAAUAAUUUCCCCUAAGUCUGUGGUCCGAGGAUCCAUGCAGGACUUAGGUUCUGUUUAAAACUUGUAUAAAUUGUCAUGAGUAAUAAUUUCCCCUAAGUCUGUGGUCCGAGGAGCCAUGCAGGACUUAGGUUCUGUUUAAAACUAUGAAUAGUUGCCAUAAGUAAUAAUUUCCCCUAAGUCUGUGGUCCGAGGAUCCAUGCAGGACUUAGGUUCUGUUUAAAACUUGUAUAAAUUGUCAUGAGUAAUAAUUUCCCCUAAGUCUGUGGUCCGAGGAGCCAUGCAGGACUUAGGUUCUGUUUAAAACUAUGAAUAGUUGUAGAUAGAUCAGGAGGCAGAGGAUAAUCACGAAACAAAACAUGGGCGAAGCCAUUUUCAUUAAUAACAAUAUCUUCUGAGGUUAUUUACAUUCCAUGGUCGAGGUACGGUUUUUUCAUCCAAAUCUUCUAGGUAGUAAGCGCCUAUCCCGGCCACGGAUGUGACACGGUAUGGUCCUUCCCAAUUGGGCCCCAACUUGCCCCAAGAGGGGUUUUUUGCGCUGCCGAGAAUCUUCCUCAUCACGAG